rnacentral:tRNA from 1 species
UCCCUGGUGGCUCAGUGGUAAAGAAUCUGUCUGCCAAGGCAGGAGAUCCAGGUCUGAUCCCUGGUCUGGGAA